UACGUAGGAUGCAAGCGUUGUCCGGAAUUAUUGGGCGUAAAGGGUGCGCAGGCGGUUUUUCAAGUCAGGUGUGAAAUAUCCCGGCUUAACUGGGAGGGGCCAUUUGAAACUGAAAGACUAGAGUGCAGGAGAGGAUAGCGGAAUUCCCGGUGUAGUGGUGAAAUGCGUAGAUAUCGGGAGGAACACCAGUGGCGAAGGCGGCUAUCUGGCCUGCAACUGACGCUGAGGCACGAAGGCUAGGGGAGCGAACAGG
rnacentral:rRNA from 1 species